UGUGGGAGCUGGCUUGCCUGCGAUGCCGGCACCUCGGUCUUUCAGUCAGUCGCGGUGAUGCUAUCGCAGGCAAGCCAGCUCCCACA
rnacentral:misc_RNA from 1 species